GGCUUCUGAAAGCAGAGUGGCAGUCAAGAAAUGAGGAGAGUUUUCUGUACACUUUCACCUGGGCAUUGAGCCAAUGGAGAGUUGGCAUCCCCAUGUACUGAGAAAGCGCCCUCGUUUGCUGAUGACAACUAGGAUUUGUGUAUGUUUGCUGACCAUGCAGAGUCCACGUGGGGAAUUCCAGGGGCAGAGAAAAGGCAAUUUUCUUUCAGCCAAAAAGAUCUGGAAGCGAGACAAGUCUGAAUCCA